rnacentral:rRNA from 1 species
AUUGAACGCUGGCGGCAUGCUUUGCACAUGCAAGUCGAACGGUAACAGGGUGCUUGCACCGCUGACGAGUGGCGAACGGGUGAGUAAUGCGUCGGAACGUGCCGAGUAGUGGGGGAUAACGCAGCGAAAGUUGUGCUAAUACCGCAUACGUACUGAGGUAGAAAGUGGGGGACCUUCGGGCCUCACGCUAUUCGAGCGGCCGACGUCUGAUUAGCUAGUAGGUGAGGUAAAGGCUCACCUAGGCGACGAUCAGUAGCGGGUCUGAGAGGGUGAUCCGCCACACUGGGACUGAGACACGGCCCAGACUCCUACGGGAGGCAGCAGUGGGGAAUUUUGGACAAUGGGCGAAAGCCUGAUCCAGCCAUGCCGCGUGUCUGUAGAAGGCCUUCGGGUUGUAAAGGACUUUUGUCAGGGAGGAAAUCCCUAGCGUUAAUACCGCUGGGGGAUGACAGUACCUGAAGAAUAAGCACCGGCUAACUACGUGCCAGCCGCCGCGGUAAUAC